rnacentral:rRNA from 1 species
UGGGGAAUAUUGCACAAUGGGCGCAAGCCUGAUGCAGCAACGCCGCGUGAGGGAUGACGGCCUUCGGGUUGUAAACCUCUUUUAGUAGGGAAGAAGCCGCAAGGUGACGGUACCUGCAGAAAAAGCACCGGCUAACUACGUGCCAGCAGCCGCGGUAAUACGUAGGGUGCAAGCGUUGUCCGGAAUUAUUGGGCGUAAAGAGCUCGUAGGCGGCUUGUCGCGUCUGCUGUGAAAUCCUGAGGCUUAACCUUGGGCGUGCAGUGGGUACGGGCAAGCUAGAGUGCGGUAGGGGAGAUUGGAAUUCCUGGUGUAGCGGUGGAAUGCGCAGAUAUCAGGAGGAACACCGAUGGCGAAGGCAGAUCUCUGGGCCGUAACUGACGCUGAGGAGCGAAAGCAUGGGGAGCGAACAGG